GAUGAUUCUAUGAGCCGACAUGGCCGCCC
rnacentral:sRNA from 1 species